CCUACGGGAGGCCGCAGUGGGGAAUAUUGCACAAUGGGCGAAAGCCUGAUGCAGCAACGCCGCGUGAGUGACGAAGGCCAUCGGGUUGUAAAGCUCUGUCUUCUGGGACGAUAAUGACGGUACCAGAGGAGGAAGCCACGGCUAACUACGUGCCAGCAGCCGCGGUAAU
rnacentral:rRNA from 1 species